rnacentral:rRNA from 1 species
CAGUCGCCGCGGGAAUACGAAGGGUGCAAGCGUUAAUCGGAAUUACUGGGCGUAAAGCGUGCGUAGGCGGUGGUGGUUUAAGUCCGUUGUGAAAGCCCUGGGCUCAACCUGGGAAUUGCAGUGGAUACUGGGUCACUAGAGUGUGGUAGAGGAUAGUGGAAUUUCCGGUGUAGCAGUGAAAUGCGUAGAGAUCGGAAGGAACAUCUGUGGCGAAGGCGACUAUCUGGGCCAACACUGACACUGAGGCACGAAAGCGUGGGGAGCAAACAGGAUUAGAUACCCCCGUAGUCCCUGUCUCUUA